GUUUGAUCCUGGCUCAGAUUGAACGCUGGCGGCAUGCCUUACACAUGCAAGUCGAACGGUAACAGGUCUUUCGGGAUGCUGACGAGUGGCGAACGGGUGAGUAAUACAUCGGAACGUGCCUAGUAGUGGGGGAUAACUACUCGAAAGAGUGGCUAAUACCGCAUGAGAUCUAUGGAUGAAAGCAGGGGACCUUCGGGCCUUGUGCUACUAGAGCGGCCGAUGGCAGAUUAGGUAGUUGGUGGGAUAAAAGCUUACCAAGCCUACGAUCUGUAGCUGGUCUGAGAGGACGAUCAGCCACACUGGGACUGAGACACGGCCCAGACUCCUACGGGAGGCAGCAGUGGGGAAUUUUGGACAAUGGGGGAAACCCUGAUCCAGCAAUGCCGCGUGCAGGAUGAAGGCCUUCGGGUUGUAAACUGCUUUUGUACGGAACGAAAAGUCUUGGGUUAAUACCCUGGGAUCAUGACGGUACCGUAAGAAUAAGCACCGGCUAACUACGUGCCAGCAGCCGCGGUAAUA
rnacentral:rRNA from 1 species